rnacentral:lncRNA from 1 species
GAAUGAUAGUGGGUAUUAGGAUAACACACAUAUGUUAGAAUGAGAACACAUUGUUUGAAGAUAAGGACUUAAUGACACAAUGUAUGUUAGCAAUUGAUUUGAUAAUUUGUGUUUAAGGGAGAGAAUAUCUCCUGUGAGAUUGUGUCAUGUUGUGUGUAAGGGGCAGAGGCAUUGUAACUCAUGGAGAACAAGUUGUGACACAUGUUUUCAGACAUAAGGGGAUACAGUCUGAUUAAAAUGGGACUGCCAAAAGUUCAUUUGGUCCAAAUUAGCCAACAGUGACAGAUGUGGCAUUUCCUUGGAUGUGGAGUGCAAAUAAGGACACAAACGAAGGGAAUGUUUCAUCAGCGAGACGUGACUCAUGUUUGUGAGAAAUUGGUGCUAUUAUAACAUGGCGGGAGACACAAACUCCCAACAGUGCUCAAAGUGCAUACUCCUGACUCUGCCAAACAGGACACCGCUUACCGUUCCUGUGCCUACACAAAAUGGAUUAGUUUUUGUACAGCAGAUUAAUUUAAACAGUGCUUUGGACCAAUCACAAGCUGACCGGGGAGCAUGAAUUGAAAUAUUUUCCUACACUGGACAUAUGCCAAAAUCUAUGACUGAAACCCAUAAAUCUACAUACAGGAAUUCAAAUUCUUUUUGUGUGGGAGAAUCAUUUUGCUGAUGAGUGCGUAGAUAUCUUACAGAUUAAUGAGCACUUCACUGAAACAUGAAAACUAAAAAUUCUUACAUUCUCAUUCUUAUCAUCCUUACUCUGCAAACCAGGAACUCAAUGUGCAUUUUUCAAUUGCUUUCCCAGUUACUAAGGUUGUAGAAUCCAUUCUGUAAGUGGAAGUAAAUAUCCUCUGGGUACAGACCAAUUUGAAUAUUUAUCACACACUUGCUCCAGGGGUUUAUGCUUUGGUUUACAAUCCAUAUAUUGAACUCCAACAUAGUGUGAUGAAAUUGACACCAUCAUCAGAAUGCUAAAUCUUUAAGAAAAGUCACUCGAUUCCAGCCUCCUUCUUCAACCCUUAUCUCUGACAUGCGGAAGCUAUGGCAAUGGCUGCUUGUUAAGAUGGAGAUUUUUCACCACGAAAGCCUUUCAUUCUAAAGGUUAAGCUAUAUGCCUCUAAUUAAUGACCUGGUCGCACUAGAAGUAUAUCUACUACAUUUUACAAUCUAUUUUUUGGUUAAAUUGCCUCUGCACUUCUCAAGAUGUUUUGCAAUUACUGAGGUUUUGGCCAUUAGUAAAUCAAUACCUGGUAGCACCAGUCUAAUGUGGGGACUUGGUUCUGUCUAUUGAUAAAGGUUGAAUAUCAUUGAAUGGUACCUAGCUUUAAAUGGAUUUCUGAUCUUAAGCCUUCUUUAACCUAGAACGUAAACAAUGGUUUGUUAUAUGGGUUAAGGGUCUCUUUGAAAAUGUUUCAAUGUAGGGUGUAAAGAUAUAUGUUAUUAGAUUCCAUCCUGCAUCAGUUUCAUUGCAAGAAAUUCGCAGAUAGUAGAUGAAGUUGUAUUACUUUUAUUAAGGGGAAAUAAUCAUGAAGUCUCUAUGUUAUCAUUAGCUGAACACUUUAGUAAAAUACCAUCCCUGUCUCAUAUUAGAUUAAAAAAAUGUCAUGUUAAUAUAAAAGUUAAAUAUAAAAAAAUAUGUCAACAAUGCUUUAAAUUCAUACUGCAAUGGAUUAGGAUGUUAUGAAUACUCUUGAUGAAAAGGGCUCUAAAGGUUUUCAAUGGCUAAUGAAUCAAAUUCAUUUUUUUUCAGAUUUGCAUUGAAAAUUCAUUUAAAUGGUUAAUGAACUGUGAAUUAUGUUGAUGGUGCUUGAGAUUCUACAAUGGUUAGAUGCAUCUCGCUGUCCAUCCUCCUGAGCGAAGGGCUAUAUAUAGUGCUAUGAGAGUGUGAAAGGUUGAGCCAUGAAUGUACUACACAUGCGGCAGACUUGCUCAACAUCCAGUGUCUUUCAUUUUGUUGAUGUCACAAUGCUGUUGUUGAUGUCACAAUUAUGUUGCUGAUGUCACAAUUAUGUUGUUGAUGUCACAAUGCUGUUGUUGAUGUCACAAUGCUAUUGCUGAUUUCACAAUUCUGUUGCUGAUGUCAUAAUGCUAUUGCUGAUGUCAUGGUACUGUUCAUAUGUAUAUAAUUGGCAUAAGGACUUGAGAUACAACAUUGAUAGUGUACAAAACAAACAUAUCUUAUGAGUCCAGUAAUGUAUUAUUUUUCCAGAUUGAAGUAGCAGAUUUUAUAGUUUCUUUGAAUUAAUUUGUAUAAAUAAUGUAAUAUUCUAGCAUGACAGACAAGUCCAUUAUGUUUUUCUGCUGUUUUGUAGAAGAUCUGCUGUGGUGACAUUGCAGAAUGUCAGUAAUGCCAAAAUGCUUCCAUUCCACAGAAGUCUCUGAUUUAUGAUAAUUCUUGUGAGACUUUUACCACAUAAACUUAGUUGGUUUUUUUCUUGGUUUACUUGUGUCGAUAUCAUGAAGUUUAAUUUCAUGUCAUAAGUGACAUAUUCUGACACUGAAGGCACAAGACAUUUGAUCUGAACAAAUAAAUGUUCACAACUAAGGUGAAUUCAUAAUAUUUUUGUACAUCAAAUGUAAGAG